rnacentral:rRNA from 1 species
GAUGAACUCUAGCGGCAGGCUUAAUACAUGCAGGUCGAGGGGUAGCAAGAUUGUAGCAAUACAAUUGUUGACGACCGGCAAACGGGUGCGGAACACGUACACAACCUUCCUACAAGUGGGGAAUAGCCCAGAGAAAUUUGGAUUAAUACCCCGUAACAUAGCGAUGUGGCAUCACAUUGCUAUUAUAGCUUCGGCGCUUGUUGAUGGGUGUGCGGCUGAUUAGAUAGUUGGCGGGGUAACGGCCCACCAAGUCUACGAUCAGUAGCUGAUGUGAGAGCAUGAUAAGCCAGACGGGCACUGAGACACGGGCCCGACUCCUAUGGGAGGCAGCAGUAGGAAUAUUGGACAAUGGACGCAAGUCUGAUCCAGCCGUGCCGCGUGAAGGAUUAAGGUCCUCUGGAUUGUAAACUUCUUUUAUAAGGGACGAAAAAAGGUCUUUCUAGAUCGUCUGACGGUACCUUAUGAAUAAGCACCGGCUAACUCCGUGCCAGCCGCCGCGGUAAAAC